AAACCAACAGGGAUUGCCUUAGUAGCGGCGAGUGAAGCGGCAAAAGCUCAAAUUUGAAAUCUGGCACUUUCAGUGUCCGAGUUGUAAUUUGAAGAAGGUAUCUUUGGGUCUGGCUCUUGUCUAUGUUUCUUGGAACAGAACGUCACAGAGGGUGAGAAUCCCGUGCGAUGAGAUGACCCAGACCUAUGUAAAGUUCCUUCGAAGAGUCGAGUUGUUUGGGAAUGCAGCUCUAAGUGGGUGGUAAAUUCCAUCUAAAGCUAAAUAUUGGCGAGAGACCGAUAGCGAACAAGUACAGUGAUGGAAAGAUGAAAAGAACUUUGAAAAGAGAGUGAAAAAGUACGUGAAAUUGUUGAAAGGGAAGGGCUUGAGAUCAGACUUGGUAUUUUGUAUGUUACUCUCUCGGGGGUGGCCUCUACAGUUUACCGGGCCAGCAUCAGUUUGGGCGGUAGGACAAUUGCAAAGAAAUGUGGCACUGCCUCGGUAGUGUGUUAUAGUCUUUGUCGAUACUGCCAGCCUAGACUGAGGACUGCGGCUUCGGCCUAGGAUGUUGGCAUAAUGAUCUUAAGUCGC
rnacentral:rRNA from 4 species